rnacentral:lncRNA from 10 species
GCAUAUGUGAAGGUGUGGCCUCAUGAAACCACAGCACACUGUUAGGAGCUACCAGCCUGUCACAAGUGGGUGUGAAGGUUGCCUAGAGGAGACUACCAGGAGAUAACACUGAAGGGGUGGAUUAGGAAAGCCCUUGUGCACCAUCUUGAACUUUACCUUGAAUGCAAUGGAGAGCUGUGAAAGGGCUUUAAGCAAGGCCCAGGCCUCACUGAAUCUGUGGUUUAGAAAGAACUCUCUGGUUACAAGAUGGAGCAUGGAUGCAAGCGAGGUUAGAAAAAAGUGAACAUCUGGACAAAAUGAGGACUCUUGACUGUAAGGAGGAAGGAAAGAAGUGGCCACUGGGUGGAGAACCAAGUGUAACUUCAUCCAAGUGAAGUGUGAAAACUUCUCUGAAAAAAGAUCAUAUAAAAUCUGGAUUCUCAUGUUGCCGUAUUUUCUACUGUCCUCCGGACUGGGGGUGUGGGGAAGAAAAGCAUUGGUUUGGGACCUUAGUUGAGGAGGCACAGAAGAAACUAAAAUAGCUUCAUCUAUGUUAGGACUUAAGCUAAAUUUCCAUGUAUUUAGACAAAUACUGUAACAAAUGCAUUUAACUCUCAAUACUAUAAAGCAGCAGAAGGAUUGAGAAUCCAUGAAUAAAUGGAUAUUUACCUUUUGGUUAUAGUUUAAGAUACAGGCUAUUAUUAGCUGAUCAGUAACAAGCUAAGGUUAGAAUUCAAAGGUGCCAAUGACAACAUUCACAAGGGGUUUCUGCACAUCCCUGCAAUCUAAUUUCAGUAUUUUGGGCUAUACUGUGGAGUUGUCAUGUUGCUCUGGU